UAGGGAAUCUUCGGCAAUGGACGAAAGUCCGACCGAGCAACGCCGCGCGAGUGAAGAAGGUUUUCGGAUCGUAAAACUCUGUUGUUAGAGAAGAACAAGGACGUUAGUAACUGAACGUCCCCUGACGGUACCUAACCAGAAAGCCACGGCUAACUACGUGCCAGCAGCCGCGGUAAUACGUAGGUGGCAAGCGUUGUCCGGAUUUAUUGGGCGUAAAGCGAGCGCAGGCGGUUUCUUAAGUCUGAUGUGAAAGCCCCCGGCUCAACCGGGGAGGGUCAUUAGAAACUGGGAGACGUGAGUGCAGAAGAGGAGAGUGGAAUUGCGUGUGUAGCGGUGAAAUGCGUAGAUAUAUGGAGGAACACCAGUGGCGAAGGCGGCUCUCUGGUCUGUAACUGACGCUGAGGCUCGAGAGCGUGGGGAACAAACAGG
rnacentral:rRNA from 1 species